rnacentral:rRNA from 1 species
GACGAACGCUGGCGGCGUGCUUAACACAUGCAAGUCGAACGGAAAGGCCCUGCUUUUGUGGGGUGCUCGAGUGGCGAACGGGUGAGUAACACGUGAGUAACCUGCCCUUGACUUUGGGAUAACUUCAGGAAACUGGGGCUAAUACCGGAUAGGAGCUCCUGCUGCAUGGUGGGGGUUGGAAAGUUUCGGCGGUUGGGGAUGGACUCGCGGCUUAUCAGCUUGUUGGUGGGGUAGUGGCUUACCAAGGCUUUGACGGGUAGCCGGCCUGAGAGGGUGACCGGCCACAGUAGGACUGUGAUACGGCCCAGACUCCUACGGGGAGCAGCAGUGGGAGAUAUUGCACAAUGGGCGGAAGCCUGAUGCAGCAACGCCGCGUGCGGGAUAACGGCCUUCGGGUUGUAAACCGCUUUCGCCUGUGACGAAGCGUGAGUGGCGGUAAUGGGUAAAGAAGCACCGGCUAACUACGUG